UACGGGGGGGGCAAGCGUUGUUCGGAAUUACUGGGCGUAAAGGGCUCGUAGGUGGCCAACUAAGUCAGACGUGAAAUCCCUCGGCUUAACCGGGGAACUGCGUCUGAUACUGGAUGGCUUGAGAUUGGGAGAGGGAUGCGGAAUUCCAGGUGUAGCGGUGAAAUGCGUAGAUAUCGUAAGGAAGACCAGUGGCGAAGGCGGGUCUCUGGACAGUUCCUGACGCUGAGGCACGAAGGCCAGGGGAGCAAACGGG
rnacentral:rRNA from 1 species